UUUAUGGAGAGUUUGAUCCUGGCUCAGGAUGAACGCUGGCGGCGUGCCUAAUACAUGCAAGUCGAGCGAACGGACGAGAAGCUUGCUUCUCUGAUGUUAGCGGCGGACGGGUGAGUAACACGUGGAUAACCUACCUAUAAGACUGGGAUAACUUCGGGAAACCGGAGCUAAUACCGGAUAAUAUUUUGAACCGCAUGGUUCAAAAGUGAAAGACGGUCUUGCUGUCACUUAUAGAUGGAUCCGCGCUGCAUUAGCUAGUUGGUAAGGUAACGGCUUACCAAGGCAACGAUGCAUAGCCGACCUGAGAGGGUGAUCGGCCACACUGGAACUGAGACACGGUCCAGACUCCUACGGGAGGCAGCAGUAGGGAAUCUUCCGCAAUGGGCGAAAGCCUGACGGAGCAACGCCGCGUGAGUGAUGAAGGUCUUCGGAUCGUAAAACUCUGUUAUUAGGGAAGAACAUAUGUGUAAGUAACUGUGCACAUCUUGACGGUACCUAAUCAGAAAGCCACGGCUAACUACGUGCCAGCAGCCGCGGUAAUACGUAGGUGGCAAGCGUUAUCCGGAAUUAUUGGGCGUAAAGCGCGCGUAGGCGGUUUUUUAAGUCUGAUGUGAAAGCCCACGGCUCAACCGUGGAGGGUCAUUGGAAACUGGAAAACUUGAGUGCAGAAGAGGAAAGUGGAAUUCCAUGUGUAGCGGUGA
rnacentral:rRNA from 1 species